CCAAAAUGCUAGGAGAAACAACUACUGAGAGGACACAUUAAUUGGUCCAUGGUUCCAGAGGACUGCAGUCCAUCAUUGUAAAAAGGCAUGGCAGAGUGGCUGAGUCUGUGGCAGCAGGUCAUUCAGCCCUCUGCAUGGACAGCCAACUGCCAGGUGCCGGAUUACUCCAGAUGUCAAUCACUUCAGAUGUCAAUCACUCCAGAUGUCAAUCACUUCAGAUGUCAUAUCACUUCAAGUUUGGAUCGAAGCAAUCCAUUCUAUUUCAUCCCUUGGACCUUGUCUCUUCACCCUCUUCUCCCUCACAAGUCUCAAAUCCCCUUGCUAUGUAGAGAGUAGUAGACCAUCUCUGAUUUAUAAUAAUUAAACUUACUUUUUAUCU